AAUGAACGCUGGCGGCAGGCCUAACACAUGCAAGUCGAACGGAUCCUUCGGGAUUAGUGGCGGACGGGUGAGUAACGCGUGGGAACAUACCCUUUGGUACGGAAUAGCCUCGGGAAACUGGAGUAAUACCGUAUGUGGUCGAGAGACGAAAGAUUUAUCGCCAAAGGAUUGGCCCGCGUUGGACUAGGUAGUUGGUGGGGUAAUGGCCUACCAAGCCGACGAUCCAUAGCUGGUUUGAGAGGAUGAUCAGCCACACUGGGACUGAGACACGGCCCAGACUCCUACGGGAGGCAGCAGUGGGGAAUCUUAGACAAUGGGGGAAACCCUGAUCUAGCCAUGCCGCGUGAUCGAUGAAGGCCUUAGGGUUGUAAAGAUCUUUCAGGUGGGAAGAUAAUGACUGUACCACCAGAAGAAGCCCCGGCUAACUCCGUGCCAGCCGCCGCGGUAA
rnacentral:rRNA from 1 species